AACCAUUCCAUGAUUUUAUGAUGCUUAGCUCCUGUCAUAAAGUUGGGGUUCUCUUCCCACCACUCCCAUCAAAGGGAUGCUGGGAGAGAGCUGGAAAUGGAGGAAUUUUUAGCAGUUUCUCCCUGUGCAUUUAAGCACCUGCUUCCAUCUUUCCCCUUUCCUGGGAGUAAAGCUUGGGCUCAGCACCACAAAGCAAUCACUGCAGCGGGACAAACCAAACCAGGAGCCUCCCCUCAGAGUGCAGCACGGUCUGGGGCUCUGCUUAUCCUAGGUUCAUUUUUCAGUGGGUUAGUGCUGGAGCUGGAAAUCCCUUUCCAAAAGGGAAUUAAGAAGCCCUGCCUCCAGCUGGGAAGCUGCUGGAGAGAACAAACACACAGCAGUGCACAAAUCAGGAGGAAACUGGUAACAGAGUUGGAGCUCGACUUCCAGACAGCCACGGGGACAUGGAGACUCAGCUGGUGGCUUGGGGCUCAAUGCCAGAGCUUCACCCCUGGUGCUGUGCAGCAAGAGCACUGGUCCCACUGCUGCGAUGUGCAGAUGUCCCAGGCAAGCCUGGAAGGCCUGGUGCUGCAGGGGCAUGGCCAGGGAGGACAGUCCUUGAAGCUCCUUGGAGAGGAGGCUCAGAGAGCUGUUCUGAGCAGCGCCAAACAGGGAAUUUGGAGAUCAAUGAUUCUGUCUGCCCAGAACAGGCGUGAAAAACAACCUGCUUUAGUAAAACUUGCAGGAACUUUUGGGGGGAAAUCAGUUAUACUGGAGCAGUUGACAAUUAAAGAGCAUUCUCCAGCAACUAUUUUUCACCCAAAUUACUUUUCAGACCCUCCACUCAGGCACAUAAGAUGUAUGUUCAUCAAUAAAGUAAACACACGGAUUCCUUCCCCGUCCCACCAACACUGUGGUUUCUGGACAGACCCCCCAGCCAGGGAAGUGGGAAGAGCUACAGCAGCUCCUGAAAUCCCCCAGAUAACAAGGAAAAUCCUCGCAGCUGGUGUUAACAGGAUUGCAGUUGUUUGGUUUAAUAUGAAUGUAUUUAUGUAUUGUUAG
rnacentral:lncRNA from 1 species